GAGCACAACAGGGCAGGAACCUCCUCCAGCAGCAGGUGAUGGAACAUUCUGGUGUUGGGUUUGGUGGCAUUUGUGGUCAGUUCUGGUUGGUUCCAACACAGGUGGGGCAAUAACAAGGUUGGUUCCAGCACAGGUGGGGCAAUGACAAGGUUGGUUCUUGUUGGUUCCAGCUCAGGUGGGACAAUAAUGAGGUUGGUUCUGUUUGCUUCUGGUUGGUUCCAGCACAGGUGGUGCAAUAAUGAGGUUGGUUCUGUUUGCUUCUGGUUGGUUCUAGUUGGUUCCAGCACAGGUGGGACAAUAAUGAGGUUGGUUCUGGUUGGUUCCAGCACAGGUGGGACAAUAAUGAGGUUGGUUCUGGUUGGUUCCAGCACAGGUGGGACAAUAAUGAGGUUGGUUCUGGUUGGUUCCAGCACAGGUGGGACAAUAAUGAGGUUGGUUCUGGUUGGUUCCAGCACAGGUGGGACAAUAAUGAGGUUGGUUCUGGUUGGUUCCAGCACAGGUGGGACAAUAAUGAGGUUGGUUCUGGUUGGUUCCAGCACAGGUGGGACAAUAAUGAGGUUGGUUCUGGUUGGUUCCAGCACAGGUGGUGCAAUAAUGAGGUUGGUUCUGUUUGCUUCUGGUUGGUUCCAGCACAGGUGGUGCAAUAAUGAGGUUGGUUCUGUUUAGUUCUGGUUGGUUCCAGCACAGGUGGGGCAAUAAUGAG